UCAUUUCUAUAUUUGAUGCAUCAAUGAAAACAAUAACAAAUCAUACUUGGUGGUGGAAUUUUGCAAACGCGCGUUCGUGAAAGAAACCUUGUAUGUAAUAUUAUAGAAAAAGGCUUGUC
rfam:Winogradskyella sp. J14-2, complete genome.